rnacentral:lncRNA from 1 species
UCAAAUAUGCCAUAAGCAUCAAUAUGCACUUGAUCAAUAUCAUAUUAAUUUUUAUAGUAAGCUUUGUGGAUAGCACAACAAGCUCACUAAAAUCUUAACAUACUCUAUUGACCAAGUUUGAAGGAAGGCCCUUGUAGUGUUUACAUCACUAAUCAAUUUAAGUCUGAAAUUCAAUAAGACCAAAUUGGUCAGAUCAGUAGAUGGGAGGCUCCCCGUAGCUUUUCUUAGACACCAACAAAGUUAGCCAGGCC